GACGAACGCUGGCGGCGUGCUUAACACAUGCAAGUCGAGCGGUAAGGCCCUUUCGGGGGUACGACGAGCGGCGAACGGGUGAGUAACACGUGGGUGACCUGCCCUCAGCUCUGGGAUAAGCCUGGGAAACCGGGUCUAAUACUGGAUAUGACUCCAUGACGCAUGUUGUGGGUGGAAAGCCUUGUGCGGCUGAGGAUGGGCCCGCGGCCUAUCAGCUUGUUGGUGGGGUGAGGCCUACCAAGGCGACGACGGGUAGCCGGCCUGAGAGGGCGACCGGCACACUGGGACUGAGACACGGCCCAGACUCCUACGGGAGGCAGCAGUGGGGAAUCUUGCGCAAUGGGCGAAAGCCUGACGCAGCGACGCCGCGUGAGGGAUGACGGCCUGGU
rnacentral:rRNA from 1 species